rnacentral:lncRNA from 1 species
GUGAAAGUCACCAGGAAAGAGGAACCUGGGGGCCAGGGGACUGCAAGGCGGCGCAGGCCAGCACCACGUCGAGUGCCUGGGUUGCUCAGCACCAUCGGAGCAGCCCAGGGGGUUGUGUUCGCCUCCCAGGAGGCCAAGGGCGACCCCAGGGACUUGCAGAUAAGAGUCUUGCUAAUUAUUGUCCAGGCUGGACUCAAACUUGUGAUCCUUCUGCCUCGAGCUCCAGAGGAUCCUCAUGAAUCAGGGAGGAGUCUCAGGGAGCCUUGGAUGCUGGCAUUUCCAAAAGAGCCUAUCAGACAAAGAUCUGCUAAUACUAGAAGGUGUUUAGGUCAACUUAAGUAUCACCCACAGAUCGAAGCCAAAUCAAAAUCAUGUCUAACAACUCAUCCCCUUCUCUUUGUUCUACUUUCUGUACUUAUAAAAAAACAGCACAACACAAUCAUCUGUGAAACUUUUUUAGCUUUUAUGAUAUACCCUCCUUUCUCUUUUCUAAGACUCUGUUAUUCCUCUAUCUGAAUGGCAAAAAGUGUAUGAUAAAGCCCCACAGAAGAGUGUUAGAGCUACUUCUUUUAAGGGGUUACACAAGACCCUGUCUUUAGAAACGCUCUCCAAGCUGGGCCUAGUGGUGUCCACCUGUGAUCUAAACACUUGGAAGGCUGAGGCAAGAGGAUAGCAAUGAGUUGGAGGCCAACCUGCUCUACAUAAUGAGUUCAAGGCCAGCCUGCACUACAGAGCAAGACCUAUCUCAAAAAAAGAAAGUCUUUCCAUAUGACAGAAAGAAAGAAAGAAAGAAAGAAAGAAAGAAAGAAAGAAAGAAAGAAAGAAAGAAAGUCUUUCCAUAUGACACCAGGGAGCAGAUGCUCAUGUCUACUUCGCCCAUCUAAUGGAACUAUCAGAGGAAUGACAAAAUCUGAGCAGCAUAAAAAAAAAAAGUAUGUGCAUCUACAUAGUACUGAC